rnacentral:rRNA from 1 species
UGGGGAAUAUUGCACAAUGGGCGCAAGCCUGAUGCAGCCAUGCCGCGUGUGUGAAGAAGGCCUUCGGGUUGUAAAGCACUUUCAGCGGGGAGGAAGGCGUUAAGGUUAAUAACCUUGGCGAUUGACGUUACCCGCAGAAGAAGCACCGGCUAACUCCGUGCCAGCAGCCGCGGUAAUACGGAGGGUGCAAGCGUUAAUCGGAAUUACUGGGCGUAAAGCGCACGCAGGCGGUCUGUCAAGUCGGAUGUGAAAUCCCCGGGCUCAACCUGGGAACUGCAUUCGAAACUGGCAGGCUAGAGUCUUGUAGAGGGGGGUAGAAUUACAGGUGUAGCGGUGGAAUGCGUAGAGAUCUGGAGGAAUACCGGUGGCGAAGGCGGCCCCCUGGACAAAGACUGACGCUCAGGUGCGAAAGCGUGGGGAGCAAACAGG